GACGAACGCUGGCGGCGUGCUUAACACAUGCAAGUCGAACGGACAGGCCCUGCUUUUGUGGGGUGCUCGAGUGGCGAACGGGUGAGUAACACGUGAGUAACCUGCCCUUGACUUUGGGAUAACUUCAGGAAACUGGGGCUAAUACCGGAUAGGAGCUCCUGCUGCAUGGUGGGGGUUGGAAAGUUUCGGUGGUUGGGGAUGGACUCGCGGCUUAUCAGCUUGUUGGUGUGGUAGUGGCUUACCAAGGCUUUGACGGGUAGCCGGCCUGAGAGGGUGACCGGCCACAUGGGGACUGAGAUACGGCCCAGAAUCCUACGGGAGGCAGCAGUGGGGAAUAUUGCAGAAUGGGCGGAAGCCUGAUGCAGCAACGCCGCGUGCGGGAUGACGGGCUUCGGGUGGUAAACCGAUUUGGACGGUGACGAAGAGGGAGUGACGGUAAUGGGUAAAGAAGCACCGGCUAACUACGUG
rnacentral:rRNA from 1 species